GUUGGGCAUGGUGGCACAUGCCUGUAAUCCCAGUGACAUAGGAGGCUGAGGCAGGAGGAUCUUAAAUUCAAGGCUAGCCUCAGCAGCUUUGUGAGAACCUAAGCAACUUAGUGAAACCCUGUCUCAA
rnacentral:sRNA from 1 species